UCUCAUUAGUCAGGACUCCUCAGAAGUCA
rnacentral:piRNA from 1 species